ensembl:snRNA U6 U6 spliceosomal RNA
GUGCUUGCUUUGGCAGCACGUAUACUGAAAACAAAAUGAUACAGAGAUUAGGAUGGCUCCUGCGCAAAGAUGACAUGUAUAUUUGUAAAGCGUUUCAUUAUUAU